UUUUUUUUUAAUUCAUCAGAAUUAAAAUCAUUCCUAAAGAAAUUAGAAACAUGUAUGUAUCUGUGACAUUUUAAGUAGAAAAUGCACUAAAAUGAGUCUGAAAACUGUAGGGCUGUUGGAUCUUAUGAUUGAGGUAGCCAGACCCAAAGAGUUAAGGAUACAAUGAUCUUAGAAAGGGUUCUUUCAUUUUCUAACUCAGAUUUCAGUAGCCAACUCUCCUUCUCUCUCUAGACUUAGUUCUCUUUUCUGCCUUCUCUUUACUCUUACAUUCAAUUGAACCGUUGCAUUUUCGAUUAGGUGGUGUUCUUUCGCUCACGGAGUUGAGGAGGGCUUCCUAUCCAUUCGAUUAGAUUUUCAUUUAGAUGGGGUCUUGUUGGGUGUUGGAUGUGUAGCUAUCGAAGCCUUGUUACUGUUGUGAGCUGUAUUGUACUUGUAACCACAAGAUGUGAAAAAGAACCCUUGGAGCAAGCCUUGGAGGAAGAGAAUGCUGAAUCAUAGUAUCAUUAGGAUAUUAGUACUUUGGAUUAUGAACUUUGAAAACUAUUAUCUGUAAAACUUGUGUUGAUUUGGGAGGCCUUUAGUGUCUCAAGUUAACUUCAUAACACUUGUAAGGAUGACUGUAAUCCCUUAUACUCUGUUAUAUGUUUCCAACUGCUUUCUAUUAUUAUAAUUUAAUGACGUCUUUAUCAUAUUUUAGGGAUGUCACAACAACAGGUAAGUU